AAUUCGGUAGUCUAACUCCGUAGGAUGUAAGUUUUGGGGACUUGAGGUCUCUGGUUUGAGAGUCGGUUGAG
rnacentral:tRNA from 1 species